CUGGUAUUGGUGUUACAGUACCAACGCUUACAAAGCGUUGGUAAUGGUGUUACAGUAGCAACGGUUUAAGAAAAAACGCUGGUACAGGACCCUUCCAUUCCCUCCAAUUUUUUCUCCUUCCCUCCAAUUUUUCUCUUCCCUCCACUUUUUCCCUCCGCUCUAUCUCGAUUUGCUCCGUCUCAAUCUCUCACUGCUCGAUCUCCAUUACUUUAGCUCAUCGUAGGCUCUCUCUCUCUCAUCCCUCUCUCUCCACCACCAUUUCUCAGCUGAAGCACUUCUUCCACCUGCGUUUCAGAGUACUUCAAUUUCAGAUUCUCUCUCUUCCCCUCACGAAUCCUACUCAUCCUCUCUCUCUUGGUGUCUAUUAUAUCCAUUGACUUCAAAGCCUCGAUUGCGAUCGUUUCACAUUUCAGGUCGAGGUUGGAGGAUUUGGAUCUUUGAUUUCAACCGCUGAAUUCAAAAAAGGAAGGAUAAAUAAUAAGUUGACAAUGAAACGAAUGGUUAGUGAAGUGGAAAAAGUGAGUGAACAAAAAUACCGAAGCUUCAACUUCAAAAUCAUCCCAACCACCGCCGAAGAAGAGACGGGGUCCGACACGAUGCAAGAAUGUCAUAGACGCGAAAACCUUAUUGCCUUUAAGGGUUAAUAAGUUUGGACAGCCGAUCGGUCCUGGGAGUGGUAUAUAUACUAAUUAUCUGGGAACACUUGCCCGGAAGGGUGAAUUAGCUCCUUUGUGUUACAAAACUUGGUGGGAGAUGCCUAAACGGCUGAAGAGGAUAUGUGGAACAUUGUAAAGGGAAAAUAUGAUGUGGGAAUCAUGACAAAACAGAGGACAAUAUCCUCCAUCGGAAAAAAAUGGAGGGGGUACAAGUGUGAGUUGAAAAAUGAAUACUACUCAGUUAGGGAUACAGAUGAAGAAAGAUUGACAAACCCACCACCUAAUGUUGAAAAGGAGCAUUGGGAAUUUUUGGUUAGGCAUUGGGGUACGUCUAUGGCGAAGGAGGUUAGCAAAAAAAAUAAAGAACGUCGUGGGAAGCAGACAAUGAUGCAUACUAUAGGGACAAAAAGCUUUGCACGUGUUUCUGCCGAGAUUGAGGAAGACGAAGGUAUUUAGCUUUUCGUGCAGAUUUAUUCAUCCGCACACAUGUAAAUAAGGAUGGCAAAGCUACUGAUGCUGCUGCUUCGGAGAUAAUUGAAAACAUAAGAGAACUUCAAAAAAGUUACUCUGACUCGUCUAUUGGCAGCUCCAAUGAUUUGUUCUCCAUUGUGAGGGGAGAAGAGAGAACUGGUUGUGUGCAGAUGCUUGGCUUCGGGCCUACACCAAGCGAUGUUUAGGGGCCCUCUCCUAGUAAAGCUGAACUGAUUAAUAUGCUAAAAAAUCUCAAGAGUUGCAGGAGACGAUUUCAAAAAUGCAAGCCGUCUAUGACAACAAGUUGGAAAAUUUACGAGCCAACUACGACGACAAGUUGGAAAAUUUACAACAACAGGUGACUAUGCUAAUGCAGAUGCAACAACAAAAUUGUAGUGGACAAGUAUAUUUAUUAUUAAUUUUACUCUUUACUAAAUAUAUGUUUACUUAUGCCAAGAUUUCAUGUAUUUUGUUUUGUUAUUUUGAAGGAUUCUGAUUCUUUAAAUGCUCCUCCCAGAGUAUUCCCAAAUUCAUUUUCUAGUCGUGAUGCCAAUUCAGUUAAGGUUAUGAACUUUUAAUUUCACGUAUAUAUAUGUUAAAUUUUCAUUUAUUAUAAUGUGCGCUUAAUGAAUUUAUAAAAAAUAUAGGGUAAUUCAAAUCAAAUAGGCAAGAAGACUUGUUGAAGUUGAAGUUGAAGAUAGGGUCGUGGCUAUGCUUUUUGAAUUUCCUUCGCCUUGGAUGGGUUCUUUUUGAAAAACUUGUACUACAUUUGUUAAAAAUUCUUAAUUCUUUUUGUGUGACAUUUAGUACCUUUAUCUAGAUAAUUUGGAUGGUAUUUUCAUAUUCGCAGGUUAACUUGUGGUGGUAUUAGUAGUCAAUUUCGAUGGUAUUUUUCA